rnacentral:rRNA from 1 species
GACGAACGCUGGCGGCGUGCCUAAUACAUGCAAGUUGAGCGAUGAGGGUUGGUGCUUGUCCCAACUGGAUGAGCAGCGAACGGGUGAGUAACGCGUGGGGAAUCUGCCUUUGAGCGGGGGACAACAUUUGGAAACGAAUGCUAAUACCGCAUAAAAACUUUAAACACAAGUUUUAAGAUUGAAAGAUGCAAUUGCAUCACUCAAAGAUGAUCUCGCGUUGUAUUAGGUAGUUGGUGAGGUAAAGGCCCACCAAGGCGAUGAUACCUAGCCGACCUGAGAGGGUGAUCGGCCACAUUGGGACUGAGACACGGCCCAAGAUCCCACGGGAGGCAGCCGUAGGGGAACUUCGGCAAAGGAGGAAAGUCUUGCCGGAGAACGGCGCGGGGGUGAAAAAAGGUUUCGGAUCCGAAAACUCUGUUGGUAGAGAAGAACGAUAGGGAGAGUGGAAAGCGCAUGAAGUGACGGUAACUACCCAGAAAGGGACGGCUAACUACGUG